AUCUUCCUGCGAGCCCCGCGCCCGCUGCAUGCCGGGUAGUGCGCGUGCCCGCCGCGCCCCCGCGCGCCGCCGCUUCCUUCGGCGGCCCGGGCGGGAGGGACAGAACGGAGAGCGGCGGGCUGAGGGUGCGGGAGGUGUUGCUUUCACCAGUUAUUUCUGGACAUAUGAAUGCUGAUAAACUGCUUCUGCUAGACCAGAAUUGUUUUUCACCCAUUAAGAAGCAAGAAUUGGUCACAUGAACUAUAAAGACAAAAUUAAAUUGGACUUUUCUUUGAUCAGUAGGGAAGAAAGAUUUUGUGGAAGAGCUCAAAAAAGUGGCUGCCAAAGAUGUAACAGGUGGAUUUUUCUCAACCGCAGGUUAACUUCACUCUUUCGUGUGCAAGACUGAGCUCUCUGAAUCACUCUGAAGUUCCACUGUCACACAUCUCUCACUGUUCUGCUCUUUUAACCCAAAGGCCUGCAAGGCACCCGCAGCCAAAGCAUGGAGAAACAUCCCUCCCCGCUGAAUGAUGGAGUGUCCCAGCAGAUUAGCAGAGCACUGCUUGUGGCAGGCGAUGUCUGUGUGAACAGUGCAUCACAAAGCCAAGGCACUGUGCUUUCUUACAUAGAGAAAUUGAAAGAAUACUAUCAGUCAGGCCUGCUGAGGGAAUCUGAAGGAGAUGAAACCCGAGGACCUUCAAGAACACCUUUUCUAUAGGCUCUGCAUGCAAGUGUAUGUCAUAUGGCCUCCAUGGCUAAGCACUGCUGGCUAAAGGCAAGGGGAAGAUGGUGUCAUCCUCCUGGAGUGACAUUAUUACAGGUGGCCACUGUGGGAAAGGCAUUCAUUUACCAUCCCCCAUAAACACAGGGGCUGCUCUUUACACAUCACAAGGCUUUUCUUACACAUCCCAAGGGGCUGUGUAAUUCUAACAAAAGCUUCUGCUGCUCUAGCCCAGGAUGGUUGGGAUUUGGGGAAGUUUCCCAAGGUCUUGUCUGGUUAAAUGUGUGUUUGAUUAAAAGCCCAAAUCUUCUACUGUUUGCCAUGCUGAGUGCUGUUUGGGCAGUCAGGGCAAGGUCUUUUGUCCUAAAAAAUUAGACAAUGGAAAUUUUAUAGUUUGACAUAAUUGAUGCAAAGUAAAAAUAUAUUAGGCUUUUUUUUUGUCCUCUCUUCAUUUUUCCCCUGUCACUUUUCUAAGACAUUAUUUCAGAAAUUCAGUUUCUAACUGGUUAUAAAAGCAGUUACUUCUCCAUGAAACAUUGCCCAGCUGAUUUUAUUACUAGAGGUCCUGCUAAAAUAAAUAAAUGAUUGUGCAGAAAA